rnacentral:rRNA from 1 species
AUUGAACGCUGGCGGCAGGCUUAACACAUGCAAGUCGAGCGAGCGGCGGACGGGUGAGUAAUGUCUGGGAAACUGCCUGAUGGAGGGGGAUAACUACUGGAAACGGUAGCUAAUACCGCAUACCAUCAGUUGUGCCCAGAUGGGUUGGGCUAGUAGGUGGGGUAAUGGCGCAUCUAGGCGACGAUCCCUAGCUGGUCUGCGAGGAUGACCAGCCGCACUGGAGCAGAGACACGGUACAGAUUCCGACGGCGGGAAGCAUUGGGAGAGAUUGCACAAUGGGCACAAGCCUGAAGCGGCCAUGCCGAGUAGGUGAAGAAGGCCUACGGGUUGUAAAGCACUUACAGCGAUGAGGCGAGAAUCGCAGAAGAAGCACCGGCUAACUCCGUGCCAGCAGCCGCGGUAAUAC